AUUGAACGCUGGCGGCAGGCCUAACACAUGCAAGUCGAGCGAGAAAGCACUUCGGUGUGAGUACAGCGGCGGACGGGUGAGUAACGCGUAGGAAUCUACCUGGUAGUGGGGGACAACAUGGUGAAAACCAUGCUAAUACCGCAUACGCCCUAAGGGGGAAAGCGGGGGAUCUUCGGACCUCGCGCUAUCAGAUGAGCCUGCGUAGGAUUAGCUUGUUGGUGAGGUAAAGGCUCACCAAGGCGACGAUCCUUAGCUGGUCUGAGAGGAUGAUCAGCCACACUGGAACUGAGACACGGUCCAGACUCCUACGGGAGGCAGCAGUGGGGAAUAUUGCGCAAUGGGCGAAAGCCUGACGCAGCCAUGCCGCGUGUGUGAAGAAGGCCUUCGGGUUGUAAAGCACUUUCAAUUGGGAAGAAAGGUUGGUAGUUA
rnacentral:rRNA from 1 species